rnacentral:hammerhead_ribozyme from 1 species
UGCCGAAACGCCGAGAGGCGUCGUCCACGGGUGGUGCCGUGGGCCUGACGAAGGCAGCCAUUU